ACAUGCCUACAACAUAGCAUUAAUGCGCCGGAUCCCAUUAGAACACUGCAGUUAAGCGCGCUUAGGCUAGAGUAGUACUGGGAUGAGUGACUGCCCGGGAAUUCCUAGUGUUUUACAUGCC
rnacentral:rRNA from 1 species